rnacentral:lncRNA from 1 species
GGUAUAUUGAUCAGAAGCUGUAGUCUAUUGAUCAGAAGCUGUAGUCUAUUGAUCAGAAGCUGUAGUCUAUUGAUCAGAAGCUGUAGUAUAUUGAUCAGAAGCUGUAGUCUAUUGAUCAGAAGCUGUAGUCUAUUGAUCAGAAGCUGUAGUCUAUUGAUCAGAAGCUGUAGUCUAUUGAUCAGAAGCUGUAGUCUAUUGAUCAGAAGCUGUGGUCUAUUGAUCAGAAGCUGUAGUCUAUUGAUCAGAAGCUGUAGUCUAUUGAUCAGAAGCUGUAGUCUAUUGAUCAGAAGCUGUAGUCUAUUGAUUAAAAGCUGUAGUCUAUUGAUCAGAAGCUGACCUGGGUCAAAUACAUAUGCCAAAUAUUUAUCUAAUAAGAAGAGAUAUUUAAGCUUGCCAUUUGAAAACAUUUUGCUAUAGUGUUUCCUCCUGAAUCCGACUAUCGUUCAUGUAGAGUACCACACCUGCUGGUCCAGGUUCUCAAAGAGCCCAUUCAUGAGGCCUGGAAAACAGUAAACCUCCCACUGGGUUCUCUCUUCCUGUCACGAGCUGUUCAAUUAACCUGUGGUGCUCCUGCUAAAAAUCCUGUGGUUCUGUGACAUACAAUCUGUAUCAUGUUGGCACUACAUAACUCUAAAGAGUUGAGUACUUUCUGGCUUUACUACAAUCUGUGAGUUAAAUCAGGAAACACUAUACGUAGGACUAUCUGCAGAUAAAACCCCAAUGUUGACAUUAGUCAUUGAAGAUCAACUUUAAAGUGCCAAUAAUCUACAACAACAACAAAGAGAAGCAUUUGAAAAUAUAACUCCUGCCUCUCCCUCUCUUCCCUCUCUCACAGAGUGUUGUUGCCCACCCACAUAACAUAUAGAGCACUAUAUGCUAUAUCUAGAAAGAUGUGUCAGCAAGUUUCUUUUUCCCCUCUCCCCUCCUCUCAUCCACCUCUGGUUAUCCAGACCCUGAGGGAUGUAUGCUAUGGAAGGUGGGCUAGCUACCUCACAGACCAGACCCUGAGGGAUGUAUGCUAUGGAAGGUGGGCUAGCUACCUCACAGACCAGACCAGACCCUGAGGGAUGUAUGGUAUGGAAGGUGGGCUAGCUACCUCACAGACCAGACCUGACCCUGAGGGAUGUAUGGUAUGGAAGGUGGGCUAGCUACCUCAGACCAGACCUGUGUAAAAUACUAUUUGAAAUCUUUCAAAUACUUUCAGUGUUUGCUACAGCCUGCCUGGAGUGCCAUGUGGGCGUGGCAUGCAUUUGUGGGACUAUUCUAUUGGUCCAUUGAGCUAGGCAGGCUCAAUCAAGCACAGCUAAAAGUAUUUGAAAUAUUUCAAAUCGUUUUUGAACCUAGUCUUGUGGCUCUAC